UACGUAGGGUGCAAGCGUUUGUCCGGAAUUAUUGGGCGUAAAGAGCUCGUAGGCGGUGUGUCGCGUCGGCCGUGAAAACCUGCAGCUUAACUGUGGGCUUGCGGUCGAUACGGGCAUCACUGGAGUUCGGCAGGGGAGAUUGGAAUUCCUGGUGUAGCGGUGAAAUGCGCAGAUAUCAGGAGGAACACCAACAGCGAAGGCAGAUCUCUGGGACGUAACUGACGCUGAGACGCGAAAGCGUGGGGAGCAAACAGG
rnacentral:rRNA from 1 species